rnacentral:rRNA from 1 species
UACGAAGGGGGCUAGCGUUGCUCGGAAUUACUGGGCGUAAAGGGCGCGUAGGCGGACAGUCUAGUCAGAGGUGAAAGCCCCGGGCUCAACCCGGGAAGUGCACUCGAUACUGCCGAGCUAGAGUGUCGGAGAGGUUGGUGGAAUUCUCGGUGUAGAGGUGAAAUUCGUAGAUAUCGAGAGGAACACCGGUGGCGAAGGCGGCCAACUGGACGAACACUGACGCUGAGACUCGAAAGCGUGGGGAGCAAACAGG